UGGGCCUGCCCACACUACCAGUUAAAUGAAAAAUGUAAGUUGAUUGGAAAAUAUAUAAUGAGACUCUUCCCAGGCUUUUCCUACCUGUGGAUUCAGUUAAAGAAAUAGGUAGAAGAUGACCCUGUUGACCAGCCCUGUUUAUGUAGAGGAAACAUCCUAAAAUGAAGAAUGGAAAUGUAUUAUGUUAUGAUAAUGCAUUAGAUUUACUCCUCAAGGUCUUCCUCAUCUUCAAUUCUAUGAAUUCAAAACAACUACUGCCUACAGAAUGAGGUCCAGAAAUCAGAACUCUAACAGACACAAAACACACCACAAUGUCACAGUAGCAGAUAAUACAACCAUCUCAUGAGCACACAGGAAAACAGAGGACGUGUCUGCAAAAGAGUAACUCCCUUUACAGCAAUGGAAUCAGGACACCUAUCACUAAAAGAAUGACCAUUUAUCCAAUGACUAAGAAAAUUUACCCAAUAAAACACCAUUUUGCAAAU